rnacentral:lncRNA from 1 species
AUGGGAAUUGUUGAAUCAUGGCCUGAACUUCUGAUUGACCACCUGAGGCGAGCAAUGAGUCAGCCAUGGGAGCACAGGUGAAGGCAAUUCCUGUGUUACUGUCCUAGAUCCCAUUUAAGGGCUGACUGCCACUAGGGAAGGAUUUCUGGAGGUUGUUCCUUUUGGUGUUUUUCUUGAUAAGCUUGGGACACAGUUGAUGAGAAGCAGUCAGGAAGUCUAGCAGAUAUGAAUAGGAAACCACUGGAAUAUAAGGUGCUGGUAGGACCAAAACCUGUAGAAUGGGCCCAAUGCCUACCACAGCAUACUUGCUACUCAUGAAGAGCGCAAACUGUGCACACAUGCCAAGGACACAAGCUGUAAAUAUCCAUCAUCUGCCACUGAAAAUGAGCAUGUCAGCAGGUCCUUCCACAUCAGGUCCUGUAUAAAAGUAGACCAGGAUCUAGACGUGCAUUUAUGUUCUUUAGCACAGACUUGUAAAUUAAUACAGUAUGCAUUUUAGGACAUUUGUAAAUAACUAUUUGAUGUACAUUAUAGUAUUUCAACUAGCAGAUAUAGAUUAAGAAACACAGUAUAUAAACUUUUACUUCAUUAUGUGUAGAACUCUCCAGCCUUUUUGGAGAUUGGAGUAUAAUGUUUUGGCAAAGUAUCCCCCUAACUGAUAUUUUCUACUAUUUACAUUAUGCUUUUCUACUGAAUAGUAUGUUAUUUUACAUCCAUAGUACUCAGACUAUGCUAAAAAAUAAGCAUAUAAGAUUAAGCUUCUGUAAGUCUCUAGCUGACCGUAACUAUUCUAUCUGCUUUCCUUCUGAGUAUCCUUGGCAUAAUGUGUCCUGAAGAACAUAUUCUGUUCUGAAGGGUGAAGCAAACAAUGGAAGCCAUAAUGCUACCAUAUUUGCUUACAGAACUCACAAAGAAUGUUUUCAGGUUUUGUGGCACAAGGUUUGCAUUUUGUUGACCAGAAAAAAUAAAUGCCUUCAAGCACUGAUGAGCAGUCAUGUUCAUGAACAGGUUAGUCUGACAUGUGUGUUUUGGUAAAGAACAGGAAACUGUUAUUCCCAUUUCUCUUGCAAAAUCGUUCUUUAAUGACCCAGAAAGGACCAUAUCUGACACCAAGCACCUUGAUUAAAACUGACUGCCCCCUUUGUUCUCUAGUAUUUUGUAAUCUAGUAGUUUCCAAAAAUGCAAUUGUAGAAGCAGAGCACUACUUUUCACCGUUUCUCAGAGUUACUACAAUACCUGUAGAAGUUGUAUAGUAGCUCUUAAACAAACCAGAUCUUUCAGCGUUCAAGGGCCUUUCUCCAGAGAGGUAGAUCAAUACACUUUCCCAG